UACGGAGGGUGCGAGCGUUGUUCGGAAUUACUGGGCGUAAAGGGCGCGUAGGCGGCCUGUUAAGUCGGACGUGAAAUCCCUCGGCUCAACCGGGGAACUGCGUCCGAAACUGGCGGGCUUGAAUUCGGGAGAGGGAUGUGGAAUUCCAGGUGUAGCGGUGAAAUGCGUAGAUAUCUGGAGGAACACCGGUGGCGAAGGCGGCAUCCUGGACCGACAUUGACGCUGAGGCGCGAAAGCCAGGGGAGCAAACGGG
rnacentral:rRNA from 1 species